AAUGGGGGGGAGGAUGCCCCCGACGUUCAGGGCAGCAGGAGGAGACUUCCGCCCCAGGGAGGGAACUCCUGUAUCCUCGAGGGGUGAGGGUCAGCCCGGACCAGGCCGGCUCCCGGGCAGGUGCCGUGCGGAAAGGGGGGUUGGGCGCGGCAGAUGGCUAACGGGAGGGGGGGAGGGAAGCUGACCGCAGCCACCAGCAGCCGCUGCUCCCGCUUAUGCCUUUGCCAUGGAGACGGGGAAAGGGAAAGAAACCCCGGGCCUGGAGCUCCGCCCCGUAGGCUCCCUGGGCUCCGCCCCGGGCGUGGCCAGCAGCUCUUCCCCCUCCUUCCCCCCAACCUGUGGCGGGUACCGCUCCGCAGCACCAGGACGGACUACAGCUCCCAGCAGCCUCCGAGGCCCAGGAAAGGGCUCUCUCCGCAAAAGCGGCCCGGGGCGCUCCUGGGAGCCGUAGUCCCAACCCUUGCCGAACGCCGGGACCCGCUGCUGGACCCGACUUGCUGACAGCUCGUGGCCUGGCCUUCCCUGGGAGUCCGGGACGCGGGACUUCAGGAGCCAUGUGGCCCCAGCCCCGACCCACACCAGGACGACAGGAGACGGCUCCAGACAAACCGGGAGGCCUCGGCCUGAGGUCUCUGACAGGUCUCCGUUUGACCCAAGGUGGAGACUAAGGCGAGGCAGCAGUUGAAACAAAGCAUCUUUUUCUAAUACAAAAACACCCCCAAACCCUAAUAAACCUAGAAGGGGACGACCUCGGGGGUCCUGGCCAAAGCAGAAGUCGGCGCUUUUCACGUCCAAGCUAAGUCAGUCACGACUCAAACACUAAGUGGGGCCUGGCCUGGGACCCAUUGGCGGUCAAUCAAUGAGAAUCAGGGGUUUAAGGCCCGAACCCUUAAAGGCCCUUUUCCUGGUCUCUUCCACGUGGAGGCUACGCCCUGCUGGCCGACUCAGAGCUCCAACUGGGCCAGCCACCAUGGGCGACCAAGUCUCCCCUCCCCCAAACCCAGGGGAUAAGACAAAUGACGGAGGAUGGGAAGGAUGGGUCCUGGCCCGGCUGCAGUCCCCGGACUGGGACAGUCUGGGCAGGAGGUCCAGUCUCUGGGGAACCCCGAGCUCUGCAAACUGCCUCUGGGAAAGCCCUUCUUUCCCACCACUUGGAGGUUUCGUCUUGGGGGAGAGGGGAAGAGCGAAUAAAAUCAGAGGCCCCCCCCUCCCGGAUUGAUUUUCUUUAUUAUUAAAGCUUUUUAUUUUCAAAA